UACGUAGGGUGCGAGCGUUAUCCGGAUUCACUGGGUUUAAAGGGUGCGUAGGUGGGCAGGUAAGUCAGUGGUGAAAUCUCCGGGCUUAACUCGGAAACUGCCAUUGAUACUAUCUGUCUUGAAUACCGUGGAGGUCAGCGGAAUAUGUCAUGUAGCGGUGAAAUGCUUAGAUAUGACAUAGAACACCAAUUGCGAAGGCAGCUGGCUACACGAAUAUUGACACUGAUGCACGAAAGCGUGGGGAUCAAACAGG
rnacentral:rRNA from 1 species